CAUGGGGACAUCAUCAUGUUUACACAGCAACCUCAUGGGGACCAAAAACAUUAUGGGGACAAAAAUCCACGUCCUCACAGGGGUGAUGCAUUGAAAAGUGUUGAGGAGGCUGUAAAUAGACGCCUCACAAAUUUUUAUCUUUGGCAUAUAACGCAUGAUCUGGACAAACUGUGUGUGUGAUCGGUUUGGUCUAUGUCGCCCCCUUUAGUCUGGAACCGGUAUUUAUUGGGGGAGGGGCUUGGCCAACCACUUCACACACUCUGCGUCUAAUUUAUGCAAAUUACGGUACCACCCACUUAGUAAAGGACUGUGGCUAAUCUGCAUAUGCACAUUAGCUCUAUUACCUAUUAGCGGAUUAAAAAGCUUUAAAACAAAGAGGAAGUAGGAAAAGAACUACAUUUCCCAUCUGCCCUGGCUGUCACAGGCUAAUAGCACCAGUUGCUUUCCAUUGCCCUAAGGAGUGAUUCUACUGCUGCAACGAGACCAAAUGCAAUGAAAGUAUUGAUGCUGCAAAAGAAGACGGAUCUUUUGGUAGGCUGGUUAAUGAUGACCACAAGCACCCAAAUGGCAGAAUGCAGAAGACUGAAGUGGAUGGAAGCCCACAUCUUGGUCUGUUUGCUUUAACAGACUUUAAAGAAGGUGAUGAAUUACCUGCAAUUACGGAGGAGGAGACUGGCCUUGGUGUAGCAAGGUAAAACAUCUACUCUGAAAAAGAGGAAGGCUCGGGAAGGAAAUGAGGUCCAUGCAGUGGAGAGACAUAUGGAGACCUUCAUCAUGUCAUGUCGUGUCCCAGGGAAGUUGGCCUGUGAAAACUGCAUUAGAUCUGAGUCUUUAUAUCUUAAAGAUAGAGACUGGCAAAGUGUCAAAUUCUACGUUUAUAACUGCACUGUAGCUUACAAAAGAGAUAUAAACAAAGAUUAAAUAACACUUUGAUAGUAACACUUUACAUCUAUAUUACAGAUACUGUACAUCAUAACAUCUGUAGUAAUGCUUUAAUAAUAAGUUACGUUACACCUCUAGCCUUUUACUUUGUAAUGAACCGCUCAGCAUUUACUUCAUCAUAAACUAAUCAGGAACAAAUCAGGCAUUUAAAAUAUCCAUUAGAAUCUUUACCUACACCGUUAUAUUGAAUUAGAUCAAAUUGGUUUGGGCCGCCUUCUUCCAGUGGGUCCUUAUGCAGGUGACUGACAAGUUCAUGAGUAAGCCUAUUGGGCAAUAAAAGCUUCAGUGUGCUACCCAUUUACAUGUUUAGACUGCCUGGAAUCAAAAUUAGCUACCUCAACAUACAUUAUUAAGUUGUUACUGUCACUUUUUAGCUUAAUCAGUUAAGUGGAUAUAGAAUAAAGAAAAAAAUUGUGUUUGGUUGUGUGUCUGUGUUUGGCUAGUAUCUUUAUUUUUCUCAAUAUGUUUAACUUUGAGAUGGCUAUAUGUAGUAAGCAGAAGUGUUAUGUCAAACUUAAAUGAGUCCAAGUUCAUUCAUGGCACAUGUGAGCUUAGUAGUUGUGCACUUUAAUGGGCAAAUAUUUGUUGUCUUUUACAGUAAAGAAGCUCAAGACUCAAGUUGUCUUUAUAAUGUUGAAUAGACAGGGUUUUUUCAUCUGACUGACAAUUUUUCACUUGAUUAGAGAUCCAGACCAAUAAACAAAUACUUUGUGUAGCUAAAAUAUCAAAAGGAUGAGUGUCUUUGUCAUUUUGACUUGCCAAAAUGACUGGGGAUAGUGUUAAUUUGUGAUGCAUGCCUGUGAUAAAUAAGUGAGGUUCAGUACAGCUAGCACCUCUACUUUCUAUUCCACAAAAAAAAUUGUAUACUUUGGAGCAGGAAAUGAAAAGCUUCUUAGAAUUAUAGCCUCAAAACUAAUAAUAGCACUGGUAACACCUUCCUUAACAAGUUCCUAGGUUUCUCAAAGGGUUCCUCUGUUUGAAAUAGAAAGCUCCAAAGAAAUGUAGUCUGUUAUCUGUUACGUGCAGAUAUUGAAAUUUCUGUAAGAGAGCUUUUUGAUAACCAAACUUUCACUGAUUGCAUAUUUCACAAAUAAGGCUAAGAGUCCUUAGUAUAAACAAUUAAGAACAACUGUUCAAUAUAAUUUCAUGAGAAGCUUAAACCUUCAAAUAGAGAAAAUACACAUCAUAUCUGCUUUACAGACAGCCCUCUAAAUUAGACAUACUUAGUUUGUAAUUUUGUAUAAAUAAUUAUAGAGUUAAAUUGACAACUUUUUAAAAUGUUUUUUUAAAACCAUGUCCCAUUGUUGUUAUAUAAACUACCUGAUCUGUGUGUAUGCAGAUUAACUAUCUAGUGAUGUCCCCACUACAACAUGAAAACCAGCUAAUUUUCUGUGUAUGCAAAUUAGGCCCCCGUUAAUGAUGAGUUCUUGUAAUGUCCACAUUAGGUGUGAAAAAACCAAGCACAGAAAUUUUGUGAUUUAAAUCCAGAAUUUGAGAUGAUGUGUGUUCUCAGGCUUAAAUUAUACAUGCCUGAUUUUUUUCACAUCUGUAGGACCUCAGGAAAGUGGUGUCCCCACAAUACAUGGGUGGGACUACUGACCCCAGAAUGUUCUAAUUACAAGAAUGUGAGCGAGUGAGUGAGUGAGUGAGUGAGUGAGUUAAAGGUACAGGAGCAGUCUGGCUGUGCAGCUACAGUAAAUGUUAAUAAUAAUAAUAAUAGGACAUUAUUUAAAAGCUCAUACAGCUGAUGUGAUUUUUAUUUAGUAGUUAAAUUAACAUGCUAUGCUAACAUGUAAACAAUAAGAUAAUAUUCCUGACGUACAUUUUACACUCAAUAUUGACUGUUUCUGUUCUAUUUCACCAACAAAAAUAUUUCCAAACAAAGCCACAGCAGGUCCUGCUCCUUUUUCCUCCUAAUUCCCUCAUUUCUCCACCUUGGGAUUAAUAAAGUAUUAUCUUAUCUCAUCUUUUGUUCAAAUGGGAGAUUUCUUAUUUAUUUUAUUUAUUUUGUUUAUUUUUAAAUAGGAGACUUUUUA